UACGUAGGGGGCGAGCGUUGUUCGGAUUUACUGGGCGUAAAGGGCGCGCAGGCGGCUAUCCAAGUCAGGCGUGAAAGCCCCGGGCUUAACCUGGGAGGUGCGUCUGGGACUGGGUGGCUAGAGAUCGGGGAGAGGAGAGUGGAAUUCCCAGUGUAGAGGUGAAAUUCGUAGAUAUUGGGAAGAACACCGGUGGCGAAGGCGGCUCUCUGGACCGAUACUGACGCUGAGGCGCGAAAGCGUGGGGAGCGAACAGG
rnacentral:rRNA from 1 species